AUCACAGAGGAACCCCCUGCAGCCCCAGCCCCUCUGGCCUGGUCAGUCCUGGGUCCUGCCUGCUGGGUCAGUGCAGCUCACAGCCACCAAGGAGGGGCUUUGAGAAACCAUGUAGCCCUCAUAUAUUUUAAAGCUGACAUCUAAAAGUUAUCAUUACAAUGUUAACUGCUUGCAAAGGAUGUCGUUUCUGCAUAUUGUGAAUACGCGCACCUUUAAAGUGAAAGGUUACAUCAUUCCUUCGAGGGCAUCCAGUGGGAUAUCAAGUCCAAAGCAAGACCCUCAACAUCUGCCUACAAAACCCCCAACAGCGCUCUGGAAACAAACUGGCUGGAAGCACCAGAGCGACUGGAAAGCCUGUAUUCCGGCGUUUAGUUUUCUCCAUUUCUACAAAGAGAUGUUUGCUCUUCUGAUAUGGGUAAAGACAGAGCCAGCUGGAUCUCAAAGACAUCCAGAAUGAGAUAUCUUCACAUCCCUCAUCCCAGCCGCCAUCGGCUCCAGUCUAGGCGCCUGCACCUGCUUCUACCCUCCUCCCGACUCCCAACCUGGCCUCCAUGUACCAGCAAGCACCCAGAGAUUCAUGGGAAACUACAAGGAUGGAGCAGGACCCUCCUCUGCACUUCCUCGCUGGUGUCAAAGCCACAGUCCUUGCAGGGAUGCAGAGGCUCUACCUCCCUUAUCCCCUUGGUCAUUCUGCUCCAGCCACGUGGGCCUCCUGCUGUUCCCAAACCUGCCUGCUUCCCGGUCUCUGUACUGGCUGUUCCCUCUGGUGGGAACACUCUUCCCUCACUAACUCCCUCACCUCCUUCCAACAGGCUUUGCCCAGAAGUCACCUCCUCCGUGAGGCCCACCCUGACCACCAGUUUGCAUCUUUCCUUCCCUAGCAGGACUCACUUUCUAGCACAUGAUGAAAUUCGCUUAUUUAUUCUUUAUUGUGUUUAUUGUCUGUCUCCUUGCAUUAGAACUGGUCCCCAAGAGGACAGGAUGUCUGUUUUGUUCACGGCUAUCUUCCAUACACCCUGAACAGUGCCUGGCACACAGUAAAUGCUCAAUAAAUA